AGAACGGGAUAGCUUCAGUCCAUCAACACCGAGUGUGUUCAAACAUGCCAAUUGAAACUUAUCUGAUUUACCCAAUCCACUCUUCAUGUUUUCAAACUGUAAUUAUAACUGGUUUCGCACCUGGUUAUAACUAAAAGAUAUGAUCAGAUUGAUCUAAAAACAUGCAAAAUAUAACAAGCCUACACUUCAUACAAGCAAUACAAGGUUACUAUGAGAAUGCACGAAAAAAAUCGUAUUCUUCCAAGAUUGGACCAUUUGAAAAUAAGCAGUAGGAGAUGGUGGCUAGACGUGAGUCAAGGACCAAAAGGUUAAACGCAGUUUUAAGAAAAGGAGUAUAAAACAGCAAAGGCCGAAGGAGGUUUAAGCAGUAAGGUUAUCAGAGGUUUAGUAACAAGAUUGGCCCCAGCACACUGCCCUGUGGCACUCCCUCGCCCAGAGGUCAGUAGAAAGAACAGUCCGACCCGUGGUGAACUAGAAAGAAUGGAAAGAUUGAAAGUAAAAGUUUGGUCUGACAUACUUUAGUUUGCAUAGAAGACCCCAUCGAAUGUUUUUUACUUUAGCAUACAUAUUCCAUAAUUCUAAAUAUAUUAUGUAAAAAUAAGCAUUACAAAAUAUUCGUUAUAAUUUGCCGUCGUAUUAAGCCGCUACAUUUUUAAACAAUUAACAAAAA